GACGAACGCUGGCGGCGUGCUUAACACAUGCAAGUCGAACGGAAAGGCCCUGCUUUUGUGGGGUGCUCGAGUGGCGAACGGGUGAGUAACACGUGAGUAACCUGCCCUUGACUUUGGGAUAACUUCAGGAAACUGGGGCUAAUACCGGAUCGGAGCUCCUGCUGCAUGGUGGGGGUUGGAAAGUUUCGGCGGUUGGGGAUGGACUCGCGGCUUAUGAGCUUGUUGGUGGGGUAGUGGUUUACCAAGGCUUUGACGGGUAGCCGGCCUGAGAGGGUGACCGGCCACAUUGGGACUGAGAUACGGCCCAGACUCCUACGGGAGGCAGCAGUGGGGAAUAUUGCACAAUGGGCGGAAGCCUGAUGCAGCAACGCCGCGUGCGGGAUGACGGCCUUCGGGUUGUAAACCGCUUUCGCCUGUGACGAAGCGUGAGUGACGGUAAUGGGUAAAGAAGCACCGGCUAACUACGUG
rnacentral:rRNA from 1 species